UAAAAUUUGCUACCCAGUGUGCCAUUGCCAUUGGUAGUCUUCUUUAAAAAAAAAAGGAUUGUGGGUUAUUGAUGUUGCACUUUUUGUUAUCCAGAAAUAUUACUCAAAUAUUCCUUCAAAGGACUAUGUCUUCACACAUCAAGAAUUCAGGUUGCAUUUCGAAUAUUUGAAAUUGGAGUAUAUGAAUAUAGCGGUAGUGAAUGAAGCUAUUGAAUUCAUGGGGAGAACUACAAGCCAAGAUAUAGAAAUAUUGUCAAAGAAAGAUUUGAAAUGGAUAUGAAAAAACCAUUGCAUCGAGGAGGGUGAUGGAUAACAAUAUCUGGAGAUGAUGUAUGGAUUAGAUACCACUGGAGGUUGCAACCAAAAAUAUAUGUGACAGAUGCUUUUUUGUGGAUCACAUUGAUGAGACUUGUGCGCACACUACACAUCUCUUAUAACUGGAUAACUUGUCACAUGCUGAAUAUGAUGCUUAUGUGAGAGAAUAUGCUGAGGUUUAUGAAGGGAAUGAUGAGACAGAUCCAAAUAAUUCUUUUUAUGAGGCGAUGUAAGAUGAAGAGGUUUUUGAUGAGAAACAAAAGAAUGAUAAACUCUAAGCUUAAUCAAGCACCAUCUAUGAACCCACACAACAUCCAUGUCCGACCAUCCAAUGUCUUAGAAAAGAAUGAUAAACUCUAAGCUUAAUCAAGCACCAUCUAUCACUACAAGUAUGGACCGGCAUGCAGUCAUAAGGAUGAACUCGAACAACUCAGGUAAAGCACAUCUGACCCCAUAACUAUGAGUUCUGGAGAUUCUGCACAGUACGAGCAUAGCUGGCAACAGUAAACCGAGAAGAUCUUACGGCAGGCUUCCACAUUGAAAUCUAGUAUUUGUUGAGUUUAUGAUGUGUGUAUCACGGGGUUAUCUAGGGUAAUUAGUUUUAUUUUGGUCCCAUGUCAUUUUGAUUUAUUUUGUUGUUAUAUAUGUGUUGGGAUCUUGUACAGACUCUUUUUGUGGUUUGUAAAUGAAAACUUGGUGGUGUCAUGAAAAGAAGUUAUUGAAAAUGAUAGGAUACCAAGUACAUCACCAACUUUUUCGUUCGUAAACCUGUAUGGAAAAAACCUAAUACAAUUGCAAGUA